rnacentral:rRNA from 1 species
UACGUAGGGGGCAAGCGUUGUCCGGAAUUAUUGGGCGUAAAGAGCGCGUAGGCGGUCCGGUAAGUCGGCUGUGAAAGUCAAGGGCUCAACCCUUGAAAGCCGGCCGAUACUGUCGGACUAGAGUCCGGAAGAGGCGAGUGGAAUUCCCGGUGUAGCGGUGAAAUGCGCAGAUAUCGGGAGGAACACCAAUGGCGAAGGCGGUUCUCUGGGCCUGUACUGACGCUGAGGAGCGAAAGCGUGGGGAGCGAACAGG